rnacentral:rRNA from 1 species
AGGAUAAACGCUGGCGGCGUGCCUAAUGCAUGCAAGUCGCACGGGAAGCCUUUCGGGGCUCGACCGUGGCGGACGGGUGAGGAACACGUAGCUAACCUGCCCAACAGAGGGGGAUAACCUCGGGAAACCGAGGCUAAUACCGCAUACGCUUCCCACCGGGGACGGAGGGAAGGAAACGGAGCAAUCCGCUGAUGGAGGGGGCUGCGGCCGAUUAGCUAGUUGGUGGGGUAAAAGCCUACCAAGGCGGUGAUCGGUAGCUGGUCUGAGAGGACGAUCAGCCACACGGGGACUGAGACACGGCCCCGACUCCUACGGGAGGCAGCAGCAAGGAAUUUCCACAAUGGGCGCAAGCCUGAUGGAGCAACGCCGCGUGGGGGGAUGACGCUUUUCGGAGUGUAAACCCCUUUUCGAGAGGACGAAGCUAAAUGACGGUACUCUCGGAAUAAGGACCGGCUAACUACGUGCCAGCAGCGGC